rnacentral:rRNA from 1 species
GAUGAACGCUAGCGGCAGGCCUAACACAUGCAAGUCGAGGGGCAGCACGUCUUCGGAUGGUGGCGACCGGCGCACGGGUGCGUAACGCGUAUGCAACCUACCUCUUACAGUGGGAUAGCCCAGAGAAAUUUGGAUUAAUACCGCAUAGUAUACAGAUUCAGCAUUGGGACUGUAUUAAACNUUUAUGGGUAAGAGAUGGGCAUGCGUUCUAUUAGUUAGUUGGAGUGGUAACGGCACCCCAAGACAGCGAUAGAUAGGGGCCCUGAGAGGGGGAUCCCCGACACUGGUACUGAGACACGGACCAGACUCCUACGGGAGCAGCAGUGAGG